GACGAACGCUGGCGGCGUGCCUAAUACAUGCAAGUAGAACGCUGAAGGAGGAGCUUGCUUCUCUGGAUGAGUUGCGAACGGGUGAGUAACGCGUAGGUAACCUGCCUGGUAGCGGGGGAUAACUAUUGGAAACGAUAGCUAAUACCGCAUAAGAGUAGAUGUCGCAUGACAUUUGCUUAAAAGGUGCAAUUGCCUCACUACCAGUUGGACCUGCGUUGUAUUAGCUAGUUGGUGAGGUAACGGCUCACCAAGGCAACGAUACAUAGCCGACCUGAGAGGGGGAUCGGCCACACUGGGACUGAGACACGGCCCAGGAUUCUACGGGGGGCAGCAGGAGGGAAACUUCGGCAAUGGACGGAAGUCUGACCGAGCAACGCCGCGUGAGGGAAGAAGGGUUUCGGAUCGUAAAGCUCUGUUGUAAGAGAAGAACGAGUGUGAGAGUGGAAAGUUCACACUGUGACGGUAUCUUACCAGAAAGGGACGGCUAACUACGUG
rnacentral:rRNA from 1 species